GGCCCUCAGCGCUUUAAGUCCUCUUCGCCACUCCUCCAGGGUAAAGUAUCCCUGUUUUUCAGCUUUCAUUUUCCAAGCUAGCAUCAAGAUCCUCACAUCCGUAUGAUCCACCUCCAUAUCUGAACAUAAGUUUUCAAUUCCUUCCGGGUCAAUCAAACCAGAAGAAAUAUUUGCAUAGGAGUAAAAUAGGUUAUCAAUUCGCUCCAUUUCUUUUGAAGAUGCUUUACUUGAGGCGGAGCGAAAAAGAUCCGCAGCUGAAGAAGUGAUCGGAGCGAUGGAAUUGGAUUGACCACUUUUCCUGGCUGCAGAGCGACGCAUCUUCAACAACAGCGAAUUUUAGAGAGAGAAGAUCUAUCUAGCUAGCUAGCUAUCGAUCUAGCUAAGUACAAGGUGAAAACGAAAGCAAAAAUUUAUAAUAAAAAUUAAAAAUAAGAAAAAAAAAAUAAGAGAGAGGGACCUCGAGAUAG
rnacentral:misc_RNA from 1 species